rnacentral:rRNA from 1 species
AUGAGGUGCUUGCACCUCUGAUACUUAGCGGCGGACGGGUGAGUAACACGUGGGUAACCUGCCUAUAAGACUGGGAUAACAUUCGGAAACGAAUGCUAAUACCGGAUACGCGAUUUGGUCGCAUGAUCGAAUCGGGAAAGAUGGAGCAAUCUAUCACUUAUAGAUGGACCCGCGGCGCAUUAGCUAGUUGGUGAGGUAACGGCUCACCAAGGCGACGAUGCGUAGCCGACCUGAGAGGGUGAUCGGCCACACUGGGACUGAGACACGGCCCAGACUCCUACGGGAGGCAGCAGUAGGGAAUCUUCCGCAAUGGACGAAAGUCUGACGGAGCAACGCCGCGUGAGUGAUGAAGGUUUUCGGAUCGUAAAGCUCUGUUGCCAGGGAAGAAUGCUUGGGAGAGUAACUGCUCUCAAGGUGACGGUACCUGAGAAGAAAGCCCCGGCUAACUACGUGCCAGCAGCCGCGGUAAUACGUAGGGGGCAAGCGUUGUCCGGAAUUAUUGGGCGUAAAGCGCGCGCAGGCGGCCUUGUAAGUCUGUUGUUUAAACUUGGGGCUCAACCCCAAGUCGCAAUGGAAACUGCAAAGCUUGAGUACAGAAGAGGAAAGUGGAAUUCCACGUGUAGCGGUGAAAUGCGUAGAGAUGUGGAGGAACACCAGUGGCGAAGGCGACUUUCUGGGCUGUAACUGACGCUGAGGCGCGAAAGCGUGGGGAGCAAACAGGAUUAGAUA